AGUGAACGCUGGCGGUAGGCCUAACACAUGCAAGUCGAACGGCAGCACAGGAGAGCUUGCUCUCUGGGUGGCGAGUGGCGGACGGGUGAGGAAUACACCGGAAUCUACUUUUUCGUGGGGGAUAACGUAGGGAAACUUACGCUAAUACCGCAUACGACCUACGGGUGAAAGCAGGGGAUCUUCGGACCUUGCGCGAUUGAAUGAGCCGAUGUCGGAUUAGCUAGUUGGCGGGGUAAAGGCCCACCAAGGCGACGAUCCGUAGCUGGUCUGGGAGGAGGAUCAGCCACACUGGAACUGAGACACGGUCCAGACUCCUACGGGAGGCAGCAGUGGGGAAUAUUGGACAAUGGGCGCAAGCCUGAUCCAGCCAUACCGCGUGGGUGAAGAAGGCCUUCGGGUUGUAAAGCCCUUUUGUUGGGAAAGAAAUCCAGCUGGUUAAUACCCGGUUGGGAUGACGGUACCCAAAGAAUAAGCACCGGCUAACUUCGUGCCAGCAGCCGCCGUAA
rnacentral:rRNA from 1 species